UACGGAGGAUCCGAGCGUUAUCCGGAUUUAUUGGGUUUAAAGGGAGCGUAGGCGGACUAUUAAGUCAGCUGUGAAAGUUUGCGGCUUAACCGUAAAAUUGCAGUUGAUACUGGUCGUCUUGAGUGCAGUAGAGGUAGGCGGAAUUCGUGGUGUAGCGGUGAAAUGCUUAGAUAUCACGAAGAACUCCGAUUGCGAAGGCAGCUUACUGGACUGUAACUGACGCUGAUGCUCGAAAGUGUGGGUAUCAAACAGG
rnacentral:rRNA from 1 species